rnacentral:rRNA from 1 species
CAGCACCUCAAGUGGUCAGGAUGAUUAUUGGGCCUAAAGCAUCCGUAGUCGGCUCUGUAAGUUUUCGGUUAAAUCUGUAUGCUCAACAUACAGGCUGCCGGGAAUACUGCAGAGCUAGGGAGUGGGAGAGGUAGACGGUACUCGGUAGGAAGGGGUAAAAUCCUUUGAUCUAUUGAUGACCACCUGUGGCGAAGGCGGUCUACCAGAACACGUCCGACGGUGAGGGAUGAAAGCUGGGGGAGCAAACCGGAUUAGAGACCCGAGUAGUCC